GGGGUUGUAGCUCAGUGAUAGAGCACUUGCCUUGCAUGUGUGAGGCACUGGGUUCAAUUCUCAGUACCA
rnacentral:tRNA from 1 species